AUCCUUUUGUAGUUCCUAAGCAUGGUUAUUGAGUGUGCACGCCACUGCAUGAUGUCUGUCUCCCUCGAACCUUAUGACCUUGGCACAUAACCCAUCUGACA
ensembl:snoRNA